ACAGCAGUGAGGAAUAUUGGUCAAUAGCCUAACGGCUGAACCAGCAACUUGGAGGAAUGUAUAGCUAAAGCUAAAGGUAUUUUGUAAAAAUACAGAUUCGAUUUACUCGUAUAAAGUUCUAGAUAGGAUUAUGAUAAUGACAUUGUCUAUCUAUAUGUCUUGACCAAAUUACGUGCCAGCAGUCGCGGCAAGACGUAAAAGACUAGUGUUAUUCAUCUUUAAUAGGUUUAAAGCGUACCUAGACGGUAAAUCAAGCCUUAACCGGGACUAAUUUAACUAGAGUUAGAUGUAAGGGUGCAUAAACGUACUGUUGAGUGUAGAGAUGAAAUUCUAUUAUACCAGAUUAUUGGCACGGGUUUAGGCGAAAGCAUCGCCUUAUGUAAUAACUGACGUUGAGGGACGAAGGCUUUGUGUCGCGAACAGGAUUAGGUACCCCAGUAGUCUAAGCAGAAAAUGAUGAGUGUCAUAGGUUAAAUAUUAUUUGGUCUAUAAAUGAAAGUGUAAGCAUUCCACCUCAAGAGUAAUUUGGCAACAUUGGAAUUGAAAUCAUUAGACCGUUUCUGAAACCAGUAGUGGAGUAUGUUGUUUAAUUAGAUAUUCACCAAACCUUACCACAAUUUGAAUAUUUUACAGGCGUUGCACGGCUGUCUUCCGUUAAUGUCGUGGAAUUAUGGUUAGUUCCA
rnacentral:rRNA from 1 species